rnacentral:ncRNA from 1 species
AUACGAAAAAGGCAAACCUGUCGAAAGGCGGGGACGCAAAGCCGCGGGUCUACAGCUCAAAAAUCAUUUGAGUCAUGACAGCCGGGUUGCCAGA